rnacentral:rRNA from 1 species
GUCUGGGGCGCAGCCUGAUCUAGCCAUGCCGCGUGAGUGAUGAAGGCCUUAGGGUCGUAAAGCUCUUUCGCCUGUGAUGAUAAUGACAGUAGCAGGUAAAGAAACCCCGGCUAACUCCGUGCCAGCAGCCGCGGUAAUACGGAGGGGGUUAGCGUUGUUCGGAAUUACUGGGCGUAAAGCGCACGUAGGCGGAUUGGAAAGUUGGGGGUGAAAUCCCGGGGCUCAACCCCGGAACUGCCUCCAAAACUAUCAGUCUAGAGUUCGAGAGAGGUGAGUGGAAUUCCAAGUGUAGAGGUGAAAUUCGUAGAUAUUUGGAGGAACACCAGUGGCGAAGGCGGCUCACUGGCUCGAUACUGACGCUGAGGUGCGAAAGUGUGGGGAGCAAACAGGAUUAGAUACCCUGGUAGUCCACACCGUAAACGAUGAAUGCCAGUCGUCGGGCAGUAUACUGUUCGGUGACACACCUAACGGAUUAAGCAUUCCGCCUGGGGAGUACGGUCGCAAGAUUAAAACUCAAAGGAAUUGACGGA